rfam:Tetraodon nigroviridis chromosome undetermined SCAF14565, whole genome shotgun sequence.
AAAACGGCUCUUUUCAGAGCCACCCACAAAUUAAUACAGAGCUGAU